GGCAAGAUGGCCGAGCGGUCUAAGGCGCUGUGUUCAGGUCGCAGUCUCGAAAGGGGCCUGGGUUCGAAUCCCAGUCUUGUCA